CGCGCGCGUGCGCGUGCCCGCCCCGCCGGAGCUGGGGCCGGGCCCCGCUCUCGGCACCGCCCGGCUCCUGAGGGGAAGCGGGUGCCCGCGGCGGGGUGGGAAGCUCUGCCGGAGGCCCCGCGUGUCUCCCUCACCGGCCGGCUGCCCCCGGGGCGUCCGUUCCCCGGGAGCCCAGAGAGGGGCCUGCCCCCGGGGGGAGCCUGGGGGGCUGGCCCUGCCCGGGAGCGUCCGGGAGGGUGGGACCCGAGUGCAUCCGACUUUGCCCCAGGCAGCGCGACUCCCCCUCCAGGCUGGGUGGAGGCGGGGAGGGGAAGCGGCGUAGCCCGCUCCUGCCCGGGACCCCCGCUCCUGCCCGGGAACCCCGCUCCUGCCCGGGAACCCCGCGGGCUGGAGGAGCAGGAAAGUCUGGUUCCCGCACGACAGGGACUUUCCGCCGGUGACAGCCACAGGCCUGGGCCCUGCCUGCACCAUGCACCAUUUCCUUUUACGGAGCUGCAGCCGCUCCGGGCCAAACUCAUCCUGCGUGUAACUCGGCUUCGGCCCAGUUACACCAAGGAUGAACGACUCGAAGCUCAGCCGUUGCUGAUUGGGGAACAGAGCCAUUUUGGGAGUAACGCUGCAAAGCCAAAGCGAGCAGGCUUGACAGUGGAGCUGCCUGCAGAUGACAAGAACCCCCCUGAGAGCAGAACAAGGGAUAACGCAAAACGUACGAAGAGGAGCGCAGAGCUGUGGAUUAGGAUGGACAACCCAUUCCGCUCCCUCCUGUACCAACAAUAAGCAGAGCUCCAGCAAGGGCUCAGGGAAAGAUGGUUUUUCCCUAGUUUUUUUUAUGCCAUCUCUAAAUACAUAGACUCUUUGUCCCACGCACAGAAGGCUGCAGAUCCCUGGAUAUGUACAUGGGGACUGAUAUGCAGCAAGAACACAUCCCCUUGUGGGCAUGUCAGACCUGGUGUAUUAGUCUUUUUCCCUGAAGGCUGGUCAUGUUAAUGACCCUGGCUGGCCGGCCUGGGAUGGUUUGGAAUUCAGACUAUUCAGAUCGCUGCAGUGUUUGCCCCUUCACCAGUAGGAGGCAUGUGCACAUUCCAGCAGCUGAGAACAGAUGCACCUUUGCUCUUUUCCAAAGGAGGAAAUAACACUAGAUCUGUCCCCACCUUUGUGAGGCAGGUGGGUGUGCAAAUGUGAGCACAAUCAUUUUCAGCAGGAUACCUCUUGAAAACAAGAAUCCCUCUUUUCUCUAACGGCAGAAAUCAUAGAAUCAUAGAAUAUCAGUGUUGGAAGGGACUUCAGGAGGUCAUAUAGUCCAACCCCCUGCUCAAAGCAGGACCAAUCCCCAACUAAAUUAUCCCAGCCAGGGCUUUGUCAAGCCUGACCUUAAAAACUUCUAAGGAAGGAGAUUCCACCACCUCCCUAGAGAACGCAUUCCAGUGUUUCACCACCCUCCUAGUGAAAAAGUUUUUCCUAAUAUUCCAACCUAAACCUCCCCCACUGCAACUUGAGACCAUUACUCCUUGUCCUGUCCUCUUCUACCACUGAGAAUAGUCUAGAACCAUCCUCUCUGGAACCACCUCUCAGGUAGUUGAAAGCAGCUAUCAAAUCCCCCCUCAUUCUUCUCUUCCGCAGACUAAACAAUCACAGUUCCCUCAGCCUCUCCUCAUAAGUCAUGUGUUCCAGACCCCUAAUCAUUUUUGUUGCCCUUUGCCCCUUUGGACUCUCUCCAAUUUAUCCACAUCCUUCUUGUGGUGUGGGGCCCAAAACUGGACACAGUACUCCAGAUGAGGCCUCACCAAUGUCUAAUAGAGGGGGACGAUCACGUCCCUCGAUCUGCUCACUAUGCCCCUACUUAUACAUCCCAAAAUGCCAUUGGCCUUCUUGGCAACAAGGGCACACUGCUGACUCAUAUCCAGCUUCUCGUCCACUGUCACCCCUAGGUCCUUUUCCGCAGAACUGCUGCCUAGCCAUUCGGUCCCUAGUCUGUAGCGGUGCAUUGGGUUCUUCCGUCCUAAGUGCAGGACCCUGCACUUAUCCUUAUUGAACCUCAUCAGAUUUCUUUUGGCCCAAUCCUCCAAUUUGUCUAGGUCCCUCUGUAUCCUAUCCCUGCCCUCCAGCGUAUCUAGCACUCCUCCUAGUUUAGUAUCAUCCGCAAAUUUGCUGAGAGUGCAAUCCACACCAUCCUCCAGAUCAUUUAUGAAGAUAUUGAACAAAACCGGCCCCAGGACUGACCCCUGGGGCACUCCACUUGACACCGGCUGCCAACUAGACAUGGAGCCAUUGAUCACUAAUCUGUAACAGGUCCCCAUUUAGUGGAGACUAGAGAGCUCCCAGAAAAUCUGUGUCAGGUAACAGGAAUAUGAGUCAAGAUGGCUGACUUACCAAGCAUAAAAAUGUAGCCUCAAUCUUCUCUAUAACGUCAAGCACCAGACCCACAUUUUUUACCACCCAACUGAGCCAGUCUGCUGCUGCGGUCUCCUUCCCCACCCUUCUGGGAUGACCUGCAAGGUGAGGCCUAAGUCCACGUGCCAACAGCUUCCUGUUGCGGGAGGUGAGAGCCUGUCCCUAGCAGCUUGUGGGGGUGAAAUGUGACGAGGCCUGACUGUCCAUUUGGAUCAGGACCAUUUUUUGGGAUACUGACAUUGUGGGAGCCUACAUCACAGCUGCCCUUACUGCUGCAACAUUUAUUUGAGAAGAGGACCAGACACCUUGGAUGUUGCCCCCUUACCCAAGGGUUCCCCCUUUGGCUGGUCACCAACAUUGGUCUAGCUGGUCACUGAAGGAAUUUGGAAGUUCCCUGCAUACUGUAGUCAGUCUGUAAACCUGCUACCAAGCUUAAGCUGAGGGAAUCGGGAACGAUACAUGGAGGGCUGCUGCAGGACACGCAUCUUCUUCACCCGCACUCAGCUAUUGAAAGGACACAGACUUCAGCACUUACUUCACUCUGCUUAGACCUUAUAGACUUAACCCAUUCUUGCCCUCGCAGGCAAAGCCAGUAUCAUCCAAGCCAAGGUGCGGAACAAAGGAUAAGUUGUCAAGUUUACUUUGUAUACUUGGAAUAUUCUCCAAUAACAGACCCUGGCUCGUGUUAACCUCUCCCACCAGCACUGACACUAGGCCCCUCAGUAGCACCUUCCCCUAGAAUACAGAAGUGCAAUGGCAUCAAAAUGCUAAUCAAACUCCAUAGUAUUUCCUGGGUGUGAUUCUUCAAAAAUGCAGAUGCAGUUGGGGCCAAAUCAGCAUGCAGUAACAGAGUGCAAGGGGGCAGAUACACUGCUCACUGAUACAGGCAAAAACACUUGAUUCAUGUCAACUAACAGCCUCUGACUGUUCACCUAGAGCACUGCUCACACAGUCAGCUGACGGGGCACUCUGAUACUGAUGGGAGGACUGGCUGCUGCCCAUCCAGGCAGAUCAGGAGAACAGACAACACAAUUCUAUCUGCUGCCCUACCACAUAGCUGUGUGCACAAGAGGCUCAGUGUGCAGGGAGCCCCCACACCUCAUCAUCAAUACAAUAACCCUGCAUUAGAAGAAACCAUCAGAUUAAAUGAUCGUAUUCAGACCCUACUACUCUCUGAACAUCUGACAAAAGAGAACAUUACCCUCAUGUGGUUCUGCAGAAGAGCGGGGAACAGGGGACAGCUCUUUACACAGCCAUGGCCUCUUCUGCAUGGAGUGACUCACCCACAUGAGGCUGGAAUGAGACAGCACCAAAAUCAUGGCCCCUUUUAUUCAAAUCAGGAUUGGCCCCAAAUAUUGGGGUGGGGGGUGGGUGGUGACCAGUACCCUGCCUUGUGCUAGCCCUGCAUGGCUGGACUCGUGUCCUUUGUGUUCAGCAUCGCUCUCUGGACUGUCUAGAUCAGGCUAGGACUCAAGGAAAGGAACCAGGUUUUAAUUUGGUUUAGCACAGGUCCACCCAAAAAGGUUUCUAAUGUGGUCUGGGCAGCCUGUGGUUAGCCACACCUCAGACUAGACAGGACUCAACUAGAUGAGGCUAGCAGUGUUCUGACAUGGUGUGGCCCCAUCCCCACUGACUGGCCAGAUCAGGGCAGCACCUUUAACCCUGCUUCCCUAGCUGUGUUUGAACCACUCUGUGGAUGCAGGUCUGGGUGCAUUUCCUCUCAGUUGCUCCCCUUCCCUCUUGGCUUUGGAAGCCACAUCUGAAGUGUCUGCCUGGAGUAAUGGAUGGCAGCUGCCUAAUGUAAACGCUUUGUCCCCGCAAAGGCACGGACACAGAAUGAUCUCAGCCAAAUCCUACGGAAACGUCACGUGGCUGGCAGCACGGGGGCCUGGAGGGGUUAGUUUGUAAAUAGGCGAAUGACUUGGCCAAGAGCUCCAGGAGCAAAUCCCCACCCCAAAAGGGGACAUCACUCACUCAUAGCUGUGGUGCAUUGUAAAGCAGGCUGCAGGUGGCGUGAUCUCACUUCAGCAUACCUUCAUGGUAGACAGAAGCUCACUGCCAGCCCCUGACACGCAGAUUUCCUUUGCAGAGUGUGCUGAAGUCCUCACCCUAUGGCAGCUAGAAGCAGGCAGACAGCUCUCCUGUUUCAUCCCGAUUUUGAAUGAAAGAAAACAAAGGCCCAGCCCCAGAGCAGCUGUGUGGUUCCUGGGCCCCUUCCUCCAGUCACACU